UGCCCUAGUAACGGCGAGUGAAGCGGCAACAGCUCAAAUUUGAAAUCUGGCUACUUCGUAGUCCGAGUUGUAAUUUGUAGAGGAUGCUUUUGGUGAAGUGCUUUCUGAGUUCCCUGGAACGGGACGCCAGAGAGGGUGAGAGCCCCGUACAGUUAGCAACUGAUCCUUUGUAUAGCUCCUUCGACGAGUCGAGUAGUUUGGGAAUGCUGCUCUAAAUGGGAGGUAUAUCUCUUCUAAAGCUAAAUAUAGGCUAGAGACCGAUAGCGCACAAGUAGAGUGAUCGAAAGAUGAAAAGCACUUUGAAAAGAGAGUUAAACAGCACGUGAAAUUGUUGAAAGGGAAGCGCCUAUGACCAGACUUGUCUCUAUCAGUUUUGGUAGUUUUCGGACUGCUUUACUCUGUUAGUACAGGCCAACAUCAGUUUGUUGUCGGGGAGAAAGGCUUAGGGAAUGUGGCUCCUUCGGGAGUGUUAUAGCCCUUUGCAUAAUACCCUUCGGCAGACUGAGGACCGCGCUUCGGCAAGGAUGUUGGCGUAAUGGUCAUCAGCGACCCGUCUUGAAACACGGACCAAGGAGUCAACCUUAUAUGCGAGUGUUUGGGUGUAAAACCCCAGCGCGUAAUGAACGUGAACGUAGGUGAGAGCUUCGGCGCAUCAUCGACCGAUUCUGAUGUUCUCGGAUGGAUUUGAGUAAGAGCAUAUAGGGUUGGACCCGAAAGAAGGUGAACUAUGCUUGUAUAGGGUGAAGCCAGAGGAAACUCUGGUGGAGGCUCGCAGCGGUUCUGACGUGCAAAUCGAUCGUCAAAUAUGAGCAUGGGGGCGAAAG
rnacentral:rRNA from 1 species